rnacentral:lncRNA from 1 species
CAGCACUCAAGGCAAGCCACCAUUUUUUCCUCCUGUUUCGAGCUCUGCAAUAUCAGCUUGUCCUUUCUCAACUAGGAAGAAGAUGUUGUCACUAACAGAUGAUUUAAAGUGGAUCCAACUGACUUCGCGAAACACAAAACCAUCUACUGUGAAGAUCCCCCUGUAUCUGGCGAGUUUUAGUUUUAUUCUCAAUUCCUUGAGAUGCAGAGAUCAGGUCGCCCACACACUAGUAGUUAAAUAUGAAUUGUUUCGUUGAGGCGAAGCCCCACCACACCGGGAUCCUUAUUAUCACGUGAAGCAGCGAAGGAGGAAGGAACGUCGUCCUUGGGCGGUAACAGAGGAGCUGAUGAAGUCCUGUUUCUGAAAGCCUUGUCUCCUAAGACGGAAAACCUGGAGAGAGUACCUCAGUUUUCACUGAUGCUCACAAUAAGAUACCAAACACACACACACACACACACACACACACACACACACACACACACACACACACACACACACAGCAAGACUUCACGAGUAAGGCUUAUCCCCACGAUAAGCAUGUCACCUGCCUGCCUGCCUGCCUGCCUUCCUCACUUCCCUUUUCUCCCCCGGGUUUUAAACGCGACCCUCAGCCCACUAAAUCGACUCCUUCAUAUGAAGACGUGGCAACCCCUGCGCUCUGAAAAACACUCCGUGGUUUGCCCUUUUAUUUCUCUCACCCUGUAACUCAAUAUUAGAGUGAUUCUGAAUUGAGGACAAGCCUGAUGAGUUUGAGGCGUGGGAUAAAGGAAUCCG